CACGUAGGGGACGAGCGUUGUCCGGAUUCAUUGGGCGUAAAGCGCGCGUAGGCGGCUCGGAAAGUCGGGCGUGAAAUGCCGGGGCUCAACCCCGGGACUGCGUCCGAUACUUCCGAGCUGGAGGUAGGUAGGGGAGAUCGGAAUUCCUGGUGUAGCGGUGAAAAUGCGCAGAUAUCAGGAGGAACACCGGUGGCGAAGGCGGAUCUCUGGGGCCUUACCUGACGCUGAGGCGCGAAAGCUAGGGGGAGCGAACAGG
rnacentral:rRNA from 1 species